rnacentral:rRNA from 1 species
UACGUAGGGUCCGAGCGUUGUCCGGAAUUACUGGGCGUAAAGGGCUCGUAGGCGGUUUGUCACGUCGGGUGUGAAAACUCAGGGCUUAACCCUGAGCCUGCUUCCGAUACGGGCAGACUAGAGGUAUGCAGGGGAGAACGGAAUUCCUGGUGUAGCGGUGAAAUGCGCAGAUAUCAGGAGGAACACCGGUGGCGAAGGCGGUUCUCUGGGCAUUAACUGACGCUGAGGAGCGAAAGCGUGGGGAGCGAACAGG